CAAAAAAAAAAACCUGGGUUUCCGUGUCCAACGUUUGACUCUCCGUUUUAUAUGAUUUAUUUUUAUAAUUAGUAUUUUCAUUGUUGUUAGAUGAUAAAACAUGAUUAAUACUUUAUGUGUGACUUGUCUUUUUUAAUUUUUUUCACAUUUUUUUAAAUAAGAUGAACGGUCAAACGUUGGACACGGAAAUCCAUG
rnacentral:pre_miRNA from 1 species